UGGUCUGGCAUGCAUAAUAAACUGCAGCAACUUCACGCCCCACGGCUAGUAUAUACAAAUCCAGUUAGCUACCUAGUACAACAGUUGCACGAGCGCUAAACCAGCUUCCUCUCCUUGCUGCAUAUGCUGGGGGCCAGGGCGGAGGAAAGACGCUCAUACACGUCUGGUUUGGCGGCCAGCUCCUUCAGUGUCUGGACGCGCUCCUCAGUGAAAAGCUUCUGGUCUGAAUCCUCAUCCAGCCCGUGAAGGCGCUUCUCGUCCGUCUUACGGAAGUGGAUGACGUCAAUGUGGGUCUUGUACACCGACUUCACGGUGCUCUGGCGAGGGUUCUCACGCAUAGGAACCGCUCUGUAGAUACCUGUUGUGGAGAUGAGUUUAGUAAUGACGAUAGUCAGUUUUUGUUUACCAUCCAAUGUCACGUUACAGUGAUGUACUCGCAUCCUGACAUCAAAAAGCUCUGUAGAAGGAUAGCUAACACUGUUGGGAGUCUCAUAAAUCUUGACAAACUGAGUGAGUGAUCACCAUAAAAAUAAACACACAAGGCUGAUGGCUAUAGCCAUGUUCAACAA